rnacentral:rRNA from 1 species
UGGGGAAUAUUGCACAAUGGGCGCAAGCCUGAUGCAGCCAUGCCGCGUGAGUGAUGAAGGCCCUAGGGUUGUAAAGCUCUUUCACCGGGGAAGAUAAUGACGGUACCCGGAGAAGAAGCCCCGGCUAACUCCGUGCCAGCAGCCGCGGUAAUACGGAGGGGGCUAGCGUUGUUCGGAAUUUCUGGGCGUAAAGCGUACGUAGGCGGGUCGGUCAGUCAGAGGUGAAAUCCCGAAGCUUAACUUCGGAACUGCCUUUGAUACCGCCGAUCUAGAGUGCGGGGGAGGUGAGUGGAAUUCCUAGUGUAGAGGUGAAAUUCGUAGAUAUUAGGAAGAACACCAGUGGCGAAGGCGGCUCACUGGCCCGGUACUGACGCUGAGGUGCGAAAGCGUGGGGAGCAAACAGGAUUAGAUACCCGCGUAGUCC